AGCAAAGUGUGAUCUUCAGGUUGCCCCUUGUGGCAGAGACUCUUCACUUACAUUAUACUAGCCAUCAUCACUACAGCAACAAUCUGUUACAGGCCAUGGCAUGCACUUCAAUGACUACUCCUUCUACUGCUGCCACAACUAUGGCUGCCAAAGACGUUUUCAAAGAUCAUAAAGGUCUUCGUCGUUCAGACUCCAGUAAAGAUCUGCGCAACCAAGCCGUACUCCGAAGAUCUGUCUCGGAGAACCAUCUUUGUCGUUCUGUGAGCCGUAUACAUGCUGCGUCAAUGCAGCCUAAGCUAAAGAGCAGCCGUUCAUUCGGGAUUUUUCCAUUCCAAAUUUCUAGCUCCCUAAUCCCAAAUUCACUUCGAACGUUUCUGUUUGACCCAGAAACAAGCAAAGACAUGGAUUUAAAUGUCACUACAGUUGAAACUUCAGUGGAGAGCAAUGAAGAAGAAGAGGUCAAAAGAGCAAAUUGGGUGGAGAGGUUAUUGGAGAUCAGAAGUUAUUGGAAGAAUAGGCAGCAGAAAGAGGGUAUAGAUGGAGAUGAAAUUUGUGAUGUGGAAGAAAAUGGUGACUGCAUUUUUUAUGGUGAUGAGGAUGGGUGCAUGGUAGAUUAUAACUUAGAGGAAGAAGAAGGAGAAAUGAAAUAUGAUAGUGAAACGUUUUCGAGAUUUUUGGUUCAUGUACCAUGGUCUGAUACCAAGCUAUUCUCUAAGCUGGCUUUCUUGUGCAACAUGGCUUAUGUUAUACCUGAAAUCAAGGUAUGCGGUAUGCCUCUUUGUUUUUUAAUAUUAUAUGCUGGAAAUCCUUGAAUAAUGCAAUUCUCAAAAUUUUCUCAUUUUUUAGAGUUAAUAUUCGCUCUAUCAUUUCCUUUUCCUCUUAUGUGUAAAUACUGAAAUCACACUCAUUUUGUUCUCUGAUUUCAUAGUAUACUCCUUAUCUAUCUUUGUCACUUAGUGAAGGAUAAUUGAUGUGGAUAAUCCCCAUUUUAUGAACUGUACUCAUUAGAUUUCAUGUCAAGCAUUCUUCAGCUAAUUGUAUGGCACGAACUAAGAUUUCUAUUUUAGUUAUGGAUUAGAAAAAUAAUGAUAAGAAAGAUACUGGUCGAGUGGCUUUAAGAACUUUUCAGAAUUCUAGCUUUCUUCAGUUAAUUGUAUGGUAUGGACUAACUUGGAUUUCGCUUUUAGUUUUGGAUUUUAAAAAACAGUAAUAAGAAAGACAAAUAUUACUUAAGUAGCUUCAAGAAAUUUUCUCCUCUCGUCUCAUUCAUUGCUUGAUCCAAAGAAAGCUUAGACCUCGGCAGCUGUCCCCUCCUUCCCAAAGAAAGAAACCCUCGAACAAAUAUCUAGAUAAAUGAAUGUAGUUCAAAAAGGUAACAACAUCCACUAUUUUGCAGGCCAAGGAUUUGAGAAGAUCUUAUGCCCUACGAUUUGUAACAUCUUCCUUAGAAAAGAAAGCGGAGGCAGCUGCUAUAAAAGCAAAACUUGAUCAGGACUCUACACAUUUAACUGUUGAUUCCCUCAACAAAUCCAAAUCGGAUGAAAACAGUUACUCUGAGCUGAAGAAGCGUGCCCUUCGCACAUCUGUUUAUGAGAUUGCUGCCUCGGCAGCAUGUUAUGUUCAAUCACGCACAAAAAGCUAUACAUCUUGUAGCCCUGAGUUACAUAAUGAGUGUGGUUGUACAGAAGAUGCGGAGGGAGAAACCUCACCCCGUGUGUACAAAUCAGAAGUGGCUGCAGCAGUUGCAGCAUCAACAAUGACUGCAGUUGUUGCAGCAGGGGAGAAGGAAAAACAGAAGGCGGCAAAGGCCCUUCAGUCACUUCACUCAUCACCUUGUGAAUGGUUUGUUUGUGAUGACUUAAGCGCAUAUACUCGUUGCUUUGUGAUUCAGGGAUCUGACUCCCUGGCAUCCUGGCAAGCAAAUCUCUUCUUUGAACCUGCUAAAUUUGAGGGGACAGAAGUGUUUGUUCACAGAGGAAUUUAUGAAGCAGCAAAAGGAAUAUAUGAGCAGUUCAUGCCAGAAAUUAUCGAGCAUUUGACUACACAUGGAGAACGUGCCGAGUUCCAAUUUACUGGUCAUUCCCUUGGGGGUAGUCUUGCUCUUUUAGUCAACUUGAUGCUUCUUACCAAGAAGGUUGUCAAGCCUACUGCUCUUCGACCAGUAGUCACCUUCGGCUCACCAUUUGUUUUUUGUGGAGGCCAAAAGAUACUGAAUGAUCUGGGGUUGGAUGAUGGCCAUGUCCACAGUGUGAUGAUGCAUAGAGAUAUUGUCCCAAGAGCUUUCUCCUGCAACUACCCCAACCAAGUCGCCCAAGUCCUCAAGCGUUUAAAUGGCUCCUUCCGAUCACAUCCCUGUCUGAUUAAGAAUAAACUGCUGUACUCUCCACUUGGUAAAUUAUUCAUUCUCCAACCUGAUGAAAAGUCAUCUCCUCGACACCCUUUCCUCCCUCCGGGAAGUGCUCUCUAUGAAUUAGACAAGACCCGACGUGGGUACUCCACAAGUGUCCUAAAUGCAUUCCUCAACUGUCCCCACCCACUGGAAACUCUAAGCGAUCCUACAGCUUAUGGUUCAGAAGGUACAAUCUUAAGAGACCACGACUCGAGCAACUAUCUGAAGGCCGUGAAUAGGGUUCUAAGGCAAAAUACACAAGCGGUUGUUCACAAAAUAUCGAAAGAGAGAAAUCUAUUGUGGCCACUGCUCUCUUCACCGUCUCCACAUUCAUGGAACCAUGAAAACAAUUUGGAGAGCAGCAUGUUAGUGACCAAAGAGGUAAUCACCGUGUAAAGCAAUUUUGCAGGGUUUCUCCAACCAUUAUAUAAAUACGACCCUGAAUCAAUAAUUUCUGUAAU
rnacentral:misc_RNA from 1 species